CACAGUACCAUGGAUGUGGUAGGCGAAAAUGAGGCCCUGCAGCAGUUCUUUGAAGGCAGCUGAACUGAAGCUGAUAUUCUUGAUCUGCAGUCCAGUGCUCUACCUCUGAGCUAUACCCUCUCCUUGAAUCUGAUAUUCUAAUGAGAAGAACCAGUUGUUUCAUGUCAUGCUCCUAUUGAUAUGUUAACUGUUUCUAAUCAAAC
rnacentral:lncRNA from 1 species